UCUGCCGCCCCGGCGACUUUUUCCCUGUUAGGGAAGGACUCUCGCUUGAUCACUCCGCUUCUCGCCGCGGGGAGCUGCUGAAUCCGGCGGGAUUUACAUUUGAGAAACGGCGAUUUUGCAUAAGUGAGACCAACCCUCGGGCGCUCCGUGGGGAAGCCUCGGCAGUCGCGUCCGGAAAGGCGCCUUCGUGAUCUCUCAAGAACUGGGGCGCCACAGUCGUUUCUGAAGAAGACCCGUAGCCCGCUUUUGCCCCUGACAAUAUUCCAUGCUGUCCGAUGGCGUUAAAACACACGGGCGCCCCUUUCACAGUUACUGAAGUGACACGUGUAUUUGUGCUGAGGGGUGGCCGUGCCUCAACCUGAAGGGCGUUGCAGGCACAAAAGCCACUCGCCUACUCGUGUUUUUGCCGCUGCAGACUCAUGUCAAGUCCUUCUCUAGAUACAGAGCAAUCUCUGGUUUAGGCACUAAAUAACCAAACCAACUUGGCUUCAGUAGGUGCUGUAUAUCUCUCCCCACCCCCUUCCUUUUAAGUGAUGAUGGCUAUUUACUCCUGAGUUGUUCUACUGUGUCCCACUGUAAACACCCUAGGAGUAGGCAAUAGUAAAUCACUUACCUACCACUGCCAGAAACAACAACAAAACACCCUGUUGGAUGCAUUUGGCCUUGAAGCCUUCAGGUAUCCAAUCAUUCUUUUAAGUAUUUAUUUUUUAUCUAUCACAGAUGGAUCAUUCGCCAGUGGAAUAUAUUCAUACAUGAUGCUCUUUUUUAGAAAAAAGGACCUUUCAAAUAGAUUGCUGCCUCCUUAAACCAUAAAUGAAGCUGGUGUGAUACUAAGGCCAGAUCCUGAAGAUGAAACUGAAAUACUUUGGCCACCUAAUGAGAAGGAAGGACUCAUUGGAGAAGAGCCUAAUGCUGGGAAAGACUGAGAGCAAAAGAAGAACGGCAGAGAAUGAGGUGGCUGGAUGGAGUCACUGAAGCAGUAGGCAUGAGUUUAAAUGGAUUCCAGAGGAUGGUAGAGGAUAGGAAGGCCUGGAGGAACAUUGUCCAUGGGGUCGCGAUGGGUCGGACACGACUUCGCAACUAACAACAACAAAAUUAAGAUUGAGCACUCAGAGCUGUGCAUCCUGGGCCUUUGGAAUAUCUCUGUUGUUGUCAAAGGGGGCUCUCAACAGCUGAAGGGAGAGCAUCUUGCUUGGUAUGUUAUGUUUUAUAUUCCUGUUAAAAUCUGCCUAC